GGUCCCGGCUCCCCGGCCCCUGCGCGCGGCGCCCAGCCACUCGCACGUCCAACGCCCUCUUUCCCCCUGAAAAGUUUUUAGACGGUGGGGACUAUUUUCUUCUAAGGGGAACCAAGGUCCCCUGGGAAUGACUUCUUAAAUCCUAGAGACAAAAGUCAAACCUUGAAACUGCCCUUUGGGGCAGUUCGCUGAAUUCGGGUUUGAUCGGUACCUUGCUCAUUCUGUUGUCCACUUGAAAUGCCUUCUUCCCUUCCCUCAUUUAUCCAUAUUCUAACCAUGCUUCAAGACGAGAUCUGAGCCCCACUCCUUUCAAGAAGCUUUCUCUGAAGACUUGAACCUGCACAGAGCUUUCCUUUCUCUUUCCAGAACAUACAGUCUGUCUCACACAGCAUUGUUUUAUGUGUUCUAUUCUGUAAUUAUCUGGACCACACACAUUUGCACUUGGUAAUAUUGUUACCUUCUUUGCUGUUUUGUUCAUUAAUAUAUGGAAGAAAUAAUAGGCUUUUACUGAACAUUUGGCUGAUUAAAGAUAAUAAACUACUUAUUU